GCGCUAACAUUAAAGCAGUUCUUCCUCUUUUUAGGUAAACAUAAAAAUAUCUAAUUAGCGCUUUGAACUUAUUUUGUCUUUAGUUCUCAUGUGUCAGUUUGUGAACGGACACCUUUGUAUCACCACCCUUUGCUUUGCUAUCUUGGACCGUCGUAUCUGUCAGUUGUUCCAUGCACCUGGCCAGUCCCUCAGGUUAGCACUUUUUUGCAGCACUUUGUUAGUCCAGCGGUUGCAUUUACAGUGCUAUCUAAAUAACAUUAAGUUGACUUGAGGUGAGUAAAUGUCCUACCUUCUCUCCAUCAAGACCAGGGGGACCUGGGAGGCCAACUUCACCCUAAUGAUUCAAAAAAGAUGUCAAACAGCAAAAGUCACCAAAAAAAAAAAAAAGAAAGAAAGACUGAUGACUAAAUGUGCUAUAAGCUAGACAAACCAGAAAUAGAAGAGAUAAAAACAUUUACACUCACAUUAAAACUGAUACAUAAUUUCUGAACGGAAAUAUUACAUUUGUAACUAGACAACCACACAAAAAUGUCUAAUUCCUGAAAUCACAAAAUCUCACAGUCCAAAUGAAUAAUUUUCACAUGUAGGAAUGAGCCAAUAAUACCCAAUAACAAUAAUAAUGAUGGUAAUAAUACUGUAAUUUUAAUUCCUUUAUGCUUCCAAUAUUACUUAAAUAAUUUUUUUUUACUUUAGUCCCAGUGUUCCCAGGAGGCCCAGGAGGUCCAGGUAAUCCAGGCGGGCCCUAGGGGUUGGACAGGAGAGGUCAUUUAUACAAUCAUAAACGGGACUGCUUAUGCAUAUAUUCAUUGAUGAUUAACCAGAGGUGGGUAGCGUAGCCAAAAACUGUACUGCAGUAAGAGCAGCGUUACUUCAAAAGAAAAUUACUCCGAAUACUUUUUAAGUAAUGAGAAAUAUUGUAACUGCUUUCCAUGUCUGAUUUUUUUUUUUUUAAAGCAAUGGCAUAUUUUUUAUUCUCAGCAAAACGUCAUCUAGCCUAUAUGAACUGUUACAAUUGAACAGUACUAUAGCCUAUUACAUGACAAUAUAAGGCAAAAAACCCCAAAACAUAAAAAUCAUCAAAUUUUGAAUAGAAAAAUCUACAGAAAUAGCCUAAAGCGCAUGAGUGUCCUCUAGUUGCGAAAACUUAUUUCCUACCAUGGAAUUAAAACGAUCAUAUCUCCGGUUUUCCGUGGUGUAUCGGUGGCAAAUAAAACUGGGAGAGAGGUUGAAAUCCAAGCUUUCGAGUGAAAUACAGUACUUUAUUUUGUACGUUGCUUUAAAGAUGCCAUGUCAUUGAACAGGCCGGCAUGAACAUAGGACUUCCGACUGCUAGCUUGUGUCUGGUCACAUGACUGUAUUGUUACGUGUGAUGGUGUAUAGGAGCCAUGUAAUUAUUGUUGUGACAGCUCAUUGGUGAAACUGGAAGAGCCACUGCAAGCAUCUCUGGCAAAAGACUGUAGUGUUGCGCAAAAUAGUGGAGUAAGACAAGCAUUUCUUGUCUACAAAUCUACUCAAGUAAAAGUAAAAAUUAUGGCGAGGUAAAAUUUUUCGAAGAAGUCAAUUUUUCUCCAAAGUUACUCAAGUAAAUGUAGCGGAGUUAAUGUAACGUGCUACUACCCACCUCUGUGAUUAACACUAAAGUCUUACCAUCAGAUGUAUGUUGCGAAUAUCCUGUGAGGGAGAUUUCAGAGUUACAAAUCAUUUAAAAUAUUACUUUAAUGUACUGUACUAAUAAAAUGCAAUAAUUGUAACAUACAUUUUCAUUAUUGUGGAUUUCAGCUUUUCCUGGUUCACCAGUUGGACCUGGAGGUCCCUAUAACAUGAUAGACAUUUUAUUUCAUUAUUGACUUAUUGAGCUAGUGAACUUUAAAGGGGUAAUUGCAAUAUGCUGGAACUCAUGACUUACUCUUGGUCCGGCAGGGCCUUCGGGGCCUGUCUCCCCCUAUGUAGUGAUUAGAAUUAUGAAAAUUAAUUCAUUUGAUACUUUGUCUUCUCUUGAAAGUUUGAGCACUCUAACAAAGCGUUCAUGAUCUCACCUGGUUUCCCUGGUCACCCUUGUCACCCUGCAAUAGAUGUUUAAUGCAUUUUCAUCAAUAGUUAUUUAGUAAGCAAUAUAUAUCAUCAGUCAUACAGUCGAGAAGCUUUAGUUAAACUAAACAUACAUAUUGCAUAUUGAUACAUACAUUGAUUGUACAUAUUGCGCAUUACCUUAGGUCCCAUUUGGCCUGGGAUUCCUGGUGAACCAGGCUCUCCUUUCAGUCCAAGUGCUGAAAUAAUAGCAUCUCCCUUUUCUCCCUAUUAAAAAUAAAAUUUUGGAUUAGAGUCACUUUCUAGAAUAAGACCAUUUUUAUGAAAAUGGCUGACCUCCUCCUAGUCUUUGUAAAAUCUGCCAAUGUAACAUGCAUAGUAAAUGAUUUACUGAAAACAAUUUUAGUUAAAAAAAAAAAAAAAGAUUGAUACCAUCGCACUAUGAAUGACAAAAAAAAUUUCAAAAAAGCCAUUUUUUGUAUACAAGAGUUUGUUUGCACGUUUCUCUAAAAAUGUUCUGCUUUAUAUAUUAACGCUGAGUCCUAUAGUCACGUCGGCGUUAACAAUCAUAUUGCGUUUUUUAAAGUGCCGCAAAAAACAAUUUCACAUAGAGCGCUGGUAUCAAAAUAACCCGAAAGUGCCCACUUUAAACUCUCUCCCAGAUUUUUAUUUGGCACGGAUAGACCACGGAAAACUGGAAAUAUUGUUUUAUUUUCUAUCAUGUUAAAAAAUGUUUAUUCAUGCAUUUGUGCGCACCCAAACACUCGAAGGCACUUGUACUCUUAGGUACGGGACGGCAGACCUCAAAAUGUGGAGAUUUUAAAUCGUCAAAGGUGCUAUGAAACGAUGACCAUGUCAAAAAUUGAAUAUGACUUCACUAAUGUAAUUUAAUAUGUCAAAACUGAAUUUGUCUGCUAUCAUUUUACAGUCACUUGCUGUGGUAUUUCAUAGCACCUUCAAAGAAAAACCCAAACAUGCACUUAGCGCCCCCCCUAAAAUAAAUGAAUAGAUGAAAAACAACCAAAGAAACACUUUUGUCAUGCCAAGCCUACCCUGUAGCCCCUCUUGCCAGGGAUGCCAGGUGUGCCCAUCUGGCCCUUUGCAGUAAAAGACAAAUAGCUAUGACCUAAUCAGUUUCGAAUAAGUGUAUUUUUUUUCCUAUUGAAACCAGCUCAAAAUAGACAGUACCUUUAGCCCAGGGGUGCCAGGUAAACCUGGUUCUCCCUUUAAAGCAGAGACGCCAUAAAGACCGAGCGUUUCAAAGACAGAAAAACAAAGAUAAUUUUGUUGAAAUUGCAGGAAUGUCUUACUAUACUAUAACACAAUUUGAUGAAGCCAGAUUGAAACUAAAGAACAGUUUAAUCAUUGCUAAUAAGAACACUUCAUGCAAAUCUGUUGGAUGUUAGGAACACACAUGGAAUUUACCCUAUUUAGAAAAAAAAACAAAAAACAACAACAACAAACAAAAGCGAAAGAAAAACACCAAACAAGCCACUAUUAGGAUGUGCACUGACAUCCACCGUCAUUUAUUUAGAGGGCAGACAAACUAGAGGUUAACCCCUCAAUCCCUGGCUUUGGUCCCCUAAAUGCAGCAAGGGACUGACAGAUAUGAAACAACUUAAGUGGAUUCAUCUCCCAAAAGAUCGCAAACUCCAGCCACAAGUCCGCAUAAUAAUAAUAAUCUUGUACUGUGAUGUACUGUAAUUCGCUAAUGUCGUUAGAUCGACAGUUCUUAAGAAGACCCCAUCGAAAAAGUGUAUUGGCAAAUUCAAAAUUUGGCCAGAGGACAGACACUGAAUGAUAAGGGCGGACCUGGUUGAGGCGGCCGUAAGAAAUUUGUAGCCACUACAGAAUCAAACAGAAAAGGUUCACUCAUUCCAUCAAAGAAGUGGCCGAGACCCAACGUGAAGUCAGGGGUGAGCGAUACAAUCUGGGCAGCACCGACAGCUAACUGCAUCAAAUGCACAUAUUGUUUUCAAGUUCACAGUUUAAUGGCCAUUGGCGCUUUAAAUAGAAACUCAUUUUGUGUUGACUUAACAGUGGAUAUAUGCACCAAAGGCUCUGGUGCAUGUACCUUUGUACAUCGUCUGAAUAUGUCAGAUAAUACGUCGUAGACGUAUAUUUAGACGUAAAAGUACAUCUAAAUAUACUGUACAUGUCAGCUAGGCAUGCGUUAGAAGAGCAUGGAGGCACUCUCUAUACACACUUGUGCACUAUCCUACAUGUACAGCACAUGCUUGACUGUUGCUUUACCUUGCUACCUUUCUCUGGUGCAAAACCCCUCUUCCCUUCAUCUCCCUGAAGAUGGGAUGAAACAUUAAAGUCAUAGUACCAGAACACUCCUCAGAAUGACUCACUUUAUUUUGUAUUCAAUUUGUAGUCGGUCUGCUAAAAGGACUACAGACACUUGACCGAGACUGGAAAUUUUGUUCAUAUUAUCGCUUUACUCUUCUGAUUGGCUAGUAAUAUGUCCAUGUCAACCAUGUUGCUCAGGGAGUUCUGUAGGGAGUGUUUAUGAAAUAUGGCAUACCGGACCCUGUGAUAUGAUCGGUCGGUUCUCUGAACAAACAGUUUGACGGUUUUGUCUGCAUUGCAAGCAGUAAAUCGGUUUCCAUUGAGGGGUACGGUUUGGUGACCUAAAUAUUGUAUCGUUGAUAAUGUUCUGUUGGCUUCAUUGAGCCACAAUUUCUAACUCUGACUUUAGUGGUUCACAACCAUUGAUGAAUUAGCAAACUAUAUUAAUACGGGGUAGGAAAAAGUACCCCAAGUCUCCUGGUUGGACUGGGAAUGCCUUAGCAUGCCACUAGAAGAGCUGCAUGAUGUGGCUAGGGAAUAGCUGCUUAAGCUGACUUGGCCUCAGAUAAGCGGAAUAAAAUGGAUGGAUGGAUGUUCACUAGAGUUGGGUAGUAACGCGUAACUUGAGUAACUUUUUGAAAAAAAUGUACUUCUAAGAGUAGUUUUACUAAGCUAUAGUUUUUACUUUUACUUGAGUAAAUUUGUGGAGAAAAAACACUACUCUUACAUUUUUCCUCUUAAUUGAACAUAUUAGAUUUUUUUUUUUUUUUUUGCCAGCGAUGCCAAGAGUAGUGCUACAAAUUUCACCAAUGAGACGUCGCAACAAUAAUUAAAUGACUCCAUUGUACCAAUUGGAUGCAAGCUUGCUGUUCUGUGUUCACGCCAGCCUGUUCAAUCAUGUGGUGUCUUUAAAGCACGGUAAAAAAUGAAGUAUUAGACAUAGAGCGUUGCCCCUAACAUGACUUGAAGGCGCGGAUUUUAACCUCUCUCCCAGUUUUUACUUGGCACUGAGUGACCAUGGAAAACCGGAGAUAUGUUCCUUUUAAUUUCAUAAUAGUAAUUUUGGAGGAACUAUUCACUAUUUAAACUGCAUACCAUGUUCUCCACUCAGGGCACUCAUGUUCUUUGGACGAAUAAUGUUUCAUUUAUAAUGCUUCAUUUACAAAGUAUGUUAUUUUUUUUUCUCAUCGGAAUUCAAUGUUUUUGUUGUUGUUGUUUUCCUUUGGCUUAAUGUGGUUAUUUAAUGGGUUAUUGUACAGUUCAUUAUCACAACAGUUCAUAUAGAUAACGGUGCUCAGAAAAAACUUACCAUUGUUUAAAAAAAAAAAAAAAAAAAAAAAUUGUAAGCAGUUACUCACAAUGUUACUCAUUAAAGUAUCCUUUUCACCAAAUGCUUUUUUUUAUUUGUACUUGAGUAGAUUUUUUGCAGGACUACUUUUACUUUUACUUGAGUAAUAUUGUUUUGAAGUAAACCUACUACUAGUAAAAUUUUUGGAUACUCUACUCACCCCUGAUGUGCACACAAAAUAUGAUUGUAAGAUUUUGUUACUUACUCAUAAAAUAUGUCAGGUUUAAUGCUUUUUUCUUGAUGACUUGCUGACACAACAUGCAGUCUUUUAAUGACUCUGAGAGCUAAAUGUCAUAACCUAACCCAUUUUCAUUCAACUGGGCAAAAAUAAGGUCUGUGUACCUUGGGGCCCUCAGGACCGAUUGGACCAACAUCCCCCUGAUCACCCUGAAGAAAUAAACAGAUAAACAAUUCAGUUUUCAUCUAACACUAAUGUGCUGUGUAUGCACCGAGUAAUAUUCAAUGAAAACUUAAAAAGGCACUCACCUUCUGUCCUGGUAUACCUGGCUCACCCUGAAAGCAAAUUUCAACUUGAACAAAUACAGAAGUAACAGCUGCACUAUACAGACUGGCAAUUUGUGCUUUGAAAGUACUGCUAAUACCAUUUCACUCAACACUAAAGGUCAAUCAACACUAACAGAGCUUAUAGGUCGAGUUUGUUGUUUGUUUGUUUGUUUUUUUUUACCUUCAGUCCUGGUAAGAGCUGCAGAAUAAAGAUAAAAUGUAUUACUAUUAUUAUCAUAUAAACAAACUGCCACUUCAGAGCGAAGAACUAGUCGGAAAUAGGCGACCAAAUCAAAGCGACCAAAUCAGAGCUCACCCUUGGGUCUUUUCCGGGUUUCCCUGGUUCCCCUGGUUUACCCUGAAGGCAGAAAAUUAUUUUUCAUAACAGUAUACUGGUUGUACACUAUUAUGCAUGCGUGUAUAGGUUAAGUAUUUUCUAGUUUUUAGGUGAGGUUCAUACUAUCUACUCACCGGUGAGCCACUGGCUCCGUUCAGACCUGGGCUCCCUGGAAGACCAGGUGGGCCUGGUGGCCCUGGGGGCCCCUGCACGCCUUGCUCACCCUGCUGAAAGACAUUGAGUUACAACCUGCCAUAGUGGAAAGUGUUUCGUCAGAUUGACCACAACAGCACAACGACCUCACACUAAAACACAAAUCCUGCAGCAGGGGAUUGCGCAUUCGGAGGUUAGCUGAGGUGCAAAGCAAGCGGUUAAAUAGAAAGACUGAAGGUCUCUUCUCAGACCUGGAGAAUCAUCUGUGUAAAUAGUUUAAAUUUAUGAGUCACUUACUGUAUAAGCUUUGGGAAGAAGAACACAGUUUGGUCACUCUGCCUUAAACUGACAGUCAACAGUAUAUUUUAAGCAGUGACGAUUGCUCUAUACUGCAAGGGAAGCUCAAUUUCCCCUAAAAUGUCAUUGACUAAAUAUGUGCUGCAAUGCGCUCAACUUUUGUUGAGUAUUAGGUUAUCACUGGUUACGAUGCAGCCUGUGUGCUACUUAAUGUUUGGUGACUUGACUUCUGGCACUCUAAUUCCUUUCCCAACCAAGGAGCGGGUGCCUCUCCGCCAUCACAAAGCACCCACAGGACACACUUUGAGCUCAUUGAACCACCAGCAUCCACCACUGGUUUUGAGGCCAUUUUAGAUCAAUUCUAUUUGAACAAAUUUUCAAGUCCAGUAUGGUUGUUUACUCUUCAAUGCACAGUGGAUCAGAAUCAUCUCUAAUGUUCUUUGGCUAUGACAAUAUUUAUUGUCAGAUCAUAGAGACCCAUAGAAAGUUAAAGUCCUAAAUGAGAUCUCCAUUGUGUCUCAAUUAUACCUCUAUACAUAAAUGAGCACCGUUUGAGACUGAAGCGCAAUUUCUCAUUCGUCUCAAUUUGAACUCCUGAAAUAUUGACACUGUUCAGUCUCACAGUGAUCUAUAUUUGAGUUCUCAAAAUGGACUCAGUGGCGACUCCAUAAUAUAGUCUCAGCUCUGUCUUUCAAUUAGCACAGUUUUAGUUCUUAAAAUGAUCUGACUGUUAUCUCAUUUAUAGAGUAUGGGCUAUGUCUUUCCGUGAUCACUAUUUGAGUUCUAAAGGCCAUCUAAUUGGCAGGUUUUUUAUAUUUCUCAGCUGACAGAAAACGAGACAAUUACUACCUAUCAAAAGCGACAAAUCUAUGAAUAUUGUCAUUCUUCCAGGUUAUUUAACUCUUAAGGCAUUUAAUCGAUUGCAGCAGAACUUUAAAAAUGGUCUUUACAUACAUUUCACCUCUCAUCCGAGCUCCGUCACUUCAUGCAACAAGGCGUAGUCAGGACUGCACUAGCCUGAGACUUUUUCUGUCACAUUAUCUCUUAUCCUAUAAUGGUCUUAAUGGUAUUGUUGAUUCUCCAGUUACAGUGGGGCAAAUAGUGUGCACAAACCAAUUGUGCAAGUUGUACUUGAAAAUAUUAGAGAGGCCUGUAAUUGUCAACAUGGAUAAACCUCAACCAAGAGAGACAGAAUUUGGAAAAAAAAAAAAAAAAAAAAGAAAAUCACAUUGUUUGAUUUUUCAAGAAUUUAUUUCCAAAUUAGAGUGGAAAAUAAGUGUUUGGUCACCUAAAAACAAGCAAGAUUUCUGGUUCAAAGAGGUCUAACUUCUUCUAACGAGGUCUAAUGAGGCUCCACUCGUUACCUGUAUUAAUGGCAUCUGUUUUAACUCAUUAUCGGUAUAAAAGAUACCUGUCCACAAUGUCAGUCAGUCACACUCCAAACUCCACUAUGGCCAAGGCCAAAGAGCUGUCGAAGGACACUAGAGACAAAAUUGUAGACCUGCACCAGGCUGGGAAGACUGAAUCUGCAAAAGUUUAAACGCUUGGUGUAAAGAAAUCAACUGUGGGAGCAAUUAUUAGAAAAUGGAAGACAACAAGACCACUGAUAAUCUCCCUCAAUCUGGGGCUCCAUGCAAGAUCUCACCCGUGACUUCAAAAUGAUAACAAGAAUGGUGAGCAAAAAUCCCAGAACCACACAUUGGGACCUAGUGAAUGACCUACAGAAAUCUGGGACCACAGUAACAAAGGCUACUAUCAGUAACACAAUGCGCUGCCAAGGACUCAAAUCCUGCAGUGCCAGACGUGUCCCCCUGCUGAAGAAAGUACACGUCCAGGCCUGUCUGCAGUUCGCUAGAGAGCAUUUGGAUGAUCCAGAAGAGGACGGGGAGAAUGUGUUAUGGUCAGAUGAAACCAAAAUAGAACUUGUUGGUAGAAACACAGGUUCUCGUGUUUAGAGGAGAAAGAAUACUGAAUUGCAUCCGAAGAACACCGUACCCACUGUGAAGCAUGGGGGUGGAAACAUCAUGCUUUGGGGGUGUUUUUCUGCAAAGCGACCAGGAUGACUGAUCUGUGUAAAGGAAAGAAUGAAUGGGGCCAUGUAUCCAGAGAUUUUGAGUGAAAAUCUCAUUCCAUCAGCAAGGGCAUUGAAGAUGAGACGUGGCUGGGUCUUUUAUCAUGACAAUGAUCCCAAACACACAGCCAGGGCAACAAAGGCGUGGCUUCAUAAGAAGCAUUUCAAGGUCCUGGAGUGGCCUAACAAGUCUCCAGACUUCAAUCCAAUAGAAAAUCUUUGGAUGGAGUUGAAAGUCCGUGUUGCCCAACGACUGCCCCAAAACAUCACUGCUCUAGAGGAGAUCUGCAUGGAGGAAUGGGCCAAAAUACCAGAAACAGUGUGUGAAAAGCUUGUGAAGAGUUACAGAAAACGUUUGGCUUCCGUUAUUGCCAACAAAGGGUGCAUAACAAAGUAUUGAGAUUAACUUUUGGUAUUGACCAAAUACUUAUUUUCCACCAUGAUUUGCAAAUAAAUUCUUUAAAAAUCAAACAAUGUGAUUUUCUGUUUUUUUUUUUUUUUUCCCACAUUCUGUCUCUCACGGUUGAGGUUUACCCAUGUUGACAAUUACAGGCCUCUCUAAUAUUUUCAAGUGGGAGAACUUACACAAUUAGUGGUUGACUAAAUACUUAUUUGCCCCACUGUAAAUAACAUUAUUUUAGAAACGCAGUUAAAAACAAUAUGUCCAAUUCUCUGCCAGCGAAGUAAUCGAUAAGGUAAGUACAUUACAUUAAGAUAAACAUAUGUUUUAGCAUUAGCAAUUCCAGUUCACACAUGGCUAAAAUGUGAUCUCCAUGAUUAAUGUUGAUCUCAACAAUUAAAAUUGAGACAGUAGAAGCAGUAAAGUUGUGGAUCUCAGCUGGUUCAAACAGUGUCAGGACAUUUAUUUUGACUUUUGCUACUGCCAAUUAACUUGCACAAGUACCGCAUAAGCAAAAGUACCAGUUUAACGCAAACUCAAUCAUCAAUGUUGCCUAGAGUGCUAAGAAUGACUCACCAACCAUUUUAACAAGAAGUUUUCAUAAAAGGACUUGCUAUCUAGCGCCUUUACUACUGAAAGGAUAUGAUAACAAAGUAAGCUGUGAGAGAUGCACUAAAUGCAAAUUGCAGAUGUGGAAAUGAUUAGAAAAAAACAUCACAGCGCAGGGAAUGCCACAAUAACAUUCUGGAACAUUUGGUAUUCAGGGCCCUUGACGGUGACAUUCAUUUUGACCCUGGCAGGAAAUAUGAGAAGCUGACACCGUUUUCUAAAAGUGACGAAAAUAAUUGAAAAUGAAAACACCUGCACAUGCAACUCAGAGAAACCAUAAAUAAGCAGAAAAGACAUAAGUUAAGUGGUUGUACAGUAUCAUUCGCAAAGUGCUUAUGAAGCUACUGGAAUUGAAAGAAUAGAGCACUCUAUUUAAUUAAAAUUUAGUAGCAAAGACUUGAUAAGUGUUGGGUCAAUUGAAUUGCUUUCCUUUCAAAUAUUCUUAAUACUUGUUUGUUUAUUUAUUUAUUUAUUUAUUAUUAUUAUUAUUUUUUGUUGUUUUCUUGCUCAACUGAACAAUUUCAGGGAUUAAUUGAAACAAUCAGUCCUUGUUGUCUGGACUUCAAUUAUGAUGGUUGGUGAAAAUGAUCUUUUGUAUACCUUAGUCGAUUAAAUUCUAACAUCAAUCAACCAGCCAUUAACACCCCCCCCCCCCCACCACCAAACUGUUUUCCCGCCUGCAAACAAAAUAUUAUUGUGAUUUACCGUAUUUUUCGGACUAUACGUCGCACCUGAGUAUAAGUCGCGCCAGCAAAAAAUGUCCAAUAAAGAGGAAAAACCAUAUACUGGUCCUUCUAAAAAAUUGGCAUAUUGUGAUAAAGUUCAUUAUUUUCUGUAAUGUACUGAUAAACAUUAGACUUUCAUAUAUUUUAAUUCAUUACACACAACUGAAGUAGUUCAAGCCUUUUAUUGUUUUAAUAUUGAUGAUUUUGGCAAAAAAGUCAAGAAAAACCAAAAAUCUCUAUCUAAAAAAAUUAGCAUAGUAUGAAAAGGUACUCUAAAGAAGCUACUAACCUAAUCAUUAGAAUCAACGAAUUAACUCAAAACCCCUGCGAAAGAUUCCUGAUGCUUUUAAAAACUCCCAGCCUGGUUCAUUACUCAAAACCGCAAUAGUGGGCAAGACUGCCGACCUGACUGCUGUCCAGAAGGCCAUCAUUGACACCCUCAAGUAAGAGGCUAAGACACAGAAAGAAAUUUCUGAGCGAAUAGGUUGUUCCCAGAGUGCUGUAUCAAGGCACCUCAGUGGGAAGUGUGGAAGGAAAAAGUGUGGCAGGAAACACUGCACAACCAGAAGAGGUGACUGCACCCUGAGAAAGAUUGUGGAGAAGGUCCGAUUCCAGACCUUGGGGGACCUGCAGAAACAGUGGACUGAGUCUGGAGUAGAAACAUCCAGAGCCACCGUGCACAGGCGUGUGCUGCAAAUGGGCUACAGGUGCCGCUUUCCCCAAGUCAAGCCACUUUUGAACCUGAAACAGCGGCAGAAGCGCCUGACCUGGGCUACAGAGAAGCAGCACUGGACUGUUGCUCAGUGGUCCAAAGUACUUUUUUCAAUUGAAAGCAAAUUUUGCAUGUCAUUCGGAAAUCAAGGUGCCAGAGUUUGGAGUUUUUAGUACAGUUAUCAGUACAUUACAGAAAAUAAUGAACUUUAUCACAAUAUGCUAAUUUUUUUAGACGGACUGGUAUAAGUCGCACCGGAGUAUAAGUUGCAUUUUUGGGGGAAAUUUGAUAAAAUGCAAGAUCAAGAGCAAACAUGUCAUCUUGAAAGGCAAUUCAACUUAAAAAUAGAAUAGAACAACAGGCUGAAUAAGUGUACGGUAUGCUAACAUUACAUGAUGCAUAAACAACUGAAAAAGUGCCGAUAUCGUACCCUUAUCGUAACAUAGCUAUUAAGAUGUAAGCGAUAUAUUGCAUUAAGAACAUAUGAAAUUAUGUCUCAAUAAUUUGAUUUCACACAUAUUGUAAGUUGCGCCAGAGGAUACGUCGCACCCCUGGCCAAACUAUUAAAAAAAAAAAAACUGACUCAUACUCCUAAAAAUACAGUAAUAACAUUUGAAAAUGACUGGAAAUUAGUGAGCCAACUGUCUCUCAGCUGUGCUAGCCUCCAGUUCAUUUACAACCUUCAGAAGGAAAACUUUACAGAAAAUGAAUGAAUUGAAUAACAUUGUAUUUUAAUUCAUAUAAAUACGAUGAAUAGAAAAGACCUUUAGCCUGCAAAAUGCAUCAACAUUCAUUAGCAAUAGCAACUGCAGCAUUUGGUUAAUUACAGCAAGAUGUUUCGAAGGUUUAGGCGACGGUUGUAUAGACAGAACAGAAGGAAGGGACAAGUAGGGGGAAGAGAGAAUUGUACCUUGAGGCGUUUUAAGAUUAGAGGGCUUAUUGAGGGCAUGUUGCGCACGGUGAUGGGCAACAUCUGCCGAGGGGAAGUCACAAUGCACAGGUGGCCAACGGUGCAAAAAAAAGGUCACAGGGCAAAGGUCACCAGGAGGCCACGGAAAGGAAAGAGGGUAGAACAACAGGUCGAAGAGAGGGAGGAGGGCAGGUUCAAAGGGAGACAGAGAAACAUAAUAUAACAUUACAGUGAAACACAAGGAAUAAAGGGAGGCAAAAGAAACAAGGUCAAAGAAAGAAAGUCACAGCAAACUCUGGGCCUGGAAUGGCUAUAUUGAUUGGUAUACAGUGUCCUCUAUGUUUAAGAACAAAUGCAAGUUUCAAAUAAUAUUCUAUACUGGUUGCUUACAAAUCAUGAAACAUGCCUUUUGAGGACUAGUUUUUGGAAGCCACCUUGUAAUCGUAACCAGGCCCCUAGAUUGCAGUUCAGUAGUGAUCAGGUGUGUGCCAGUCUCGCCGCAAAGAGAGCACGGCUGUACGAUUACAGUGUAGAAUAUCCAGACUUACUGUGGCCAACAAUCCAGCACAGGGCUGUACAAUACGUCGCUUCUGUUGAGAUGAUCAGCAUCAUCAAAUACAAGUUUAGGAAAUGACAGUACUGAUAUCACUGAAUAUAAAUACUUGUAGUUUCUAUGGAAACAUAUGCUACAGUACAUGGAGACUGGAAGGGUAAAAGUAGGGAAGUGUUGUUAUCCCUCUGCAUUUGUUGCUUUCCAUUCAGACUUUUAUUAUGUACAAUGAAAUUAAAUCAAGUCAAGGUGGACUGUAGUGUAGAUUUUUAAAAUUAAACCGCUAACACUUUAUAGUAAUUAUCCGUUAAAACUAGUUAAUACGUCAUUACUAAACUGUUAAUAAAUGAUUUACUGUUGACUUGUUAAGUGUUUGUUAACAGUUUGCUGUGAUGUAUGGACAUUCAAUGCCCCACAUAAAUUAUGUUUGUCUUGUGUUUAGUACAAAAAGUGUCCCAAACUCAUGGGUUCGUACUAUACUGUUGUUUUUUGUUUUUCUGGCAUGUGACAGCUUAGUAUGUGUGUUUCUAUGCAUUAAAAUUUUUUUCAAAAUUCCAUUGGUGGUGUUACUUUGGUAAAGUAUAGCACACAGAAAGGCUAAUGAAGUUUAGUAGAUUAGUUUAGUGGUUAGCAAACUAUUGACAACUGAUCUGUAAAGUGUGAGUUCAUAUAUAUUAGUUAUAAGCUUACGCAUAUUAUUGGGAUGUUAUUCAACAUGAUUCUAAGGUUGCACUUAUUCCUCAUUUAUUAACAAUUAAGAAAUGAGAAGUAGUUGCAACUUUAGAAUAACGUCCCGAUAACAUAAACAAACUAUCAACUGAUACUUAAAAAGUCAUUAAUUAUUAAGUUACUAACAGCUUGUUAAUGAUAUAUUAAUAAUUUAUAAGGAGUAAGUAUAAAUCAUUUACAUAAAGCUUACAAGUAAUUUAUUACUCUUUAACCAUCAGUUUGUGAUAUAUUAUCUAUAAGACAUCAUUAUAAAUGCUUGACAAACUAUUAACACUUCACAAGUCAACAAAUCAUUUAUUAACAGUUUACCAAUAAUCUAUUAACUAAUUAUAACAGAUAGCUAUUAUAAAGUGUUACUAAUGAAGGUAAUCAACCUAUAUGAAAGUCCAUGAAAUUGACUGUCUUUAGUGCAGAGCGGUAAAUGUCUGAGGAGUGCCUGGCUUUUUGGGGAUUGCCUCUCUUUGCGGCACGACUUGGUGACUUCCCCCCAAAACGGGCUAUCCAUCGGGGUGUUUGAGGCCACCCACAAACCUUCAGCAUCAGUGGAUGACUGGAACGCAAGGCAGCCAAGGUUUUCAAGGGAAGAUCCUGCACAAAUAGGUUCUGCCAGAGAAGUGGGUGCUUCAGUACAUGUUGGACUUCAGACGGGCGUAGCGGCCACAGGUGCUGGCAAUGCCAAUCAACCAUCUUUAAAAACCAGAGGAUGCCGCCACCUCGUCAUCCGAUCAACUUGUCUGGUUCCACUAUCAGUUGUUUCUCGCAUUCAUCCGAUAAUUCUCUCUGAUCACCAGCUUAUUUUUUGCUCUUGCCCUAGGACCUGUUUUAUGCAUGUCCUUUGUCGGAUUCCACACCUGCCUCCUUCCGAGCUUCCUUGUCUCACGCCAGUUCAGCUACCCCGAACAGAGCGAUCUACGCCAGUCUUGUUCUCACAUGUGGUCGCUAAUAAACAUUACUCGUUGCAACCUUAGUUUGUCUGCUCUGGGAUCGCCUCGU